rnacentral:rRNA from 1 species
UGGGGAAUCUUCCGCAAUGGACGAAAGUCUGACGGAGCAACGCCGCGUGAGUGAAGACGGCCUUCGGGUUGUAAAGCUCUGUGAUCCGGGACGAAAGAGCCUGAGGUAAAUAGCCUAAGGAAGUGACGGUACCGGAAAAGCAAGCCACGGCUAACUACGUGCCAGCAGCCGCGGUAAUACGUAGGUGGCAAGCGUUGUCCGGAAUUAUUGGGCGUAAAGCGCGCGCAGGCGGCUUCCUAAGUCCAUCUUAAAAGUGCGGGGCUUAACCCCGUGAUGGGAUGGAAACUGGGAAGCUGGAGUAUCGGAGAGGAAAGUGGAAUUCCUAGUGUAGCGGUGAAAUGCGUAGAGAUUAGGAAGAACACCGGUGGCGAAGGCGACUUUCUGGACGAAAACUGACGCUGAGGCGCGAAAGCGUGGGGAGCAAACAGG